rnacentral:rRNA from 1 species
GCCCACCGUGUGGUCAUCCUUGACUCACCCAUGCCCCCCCCUCCCCUGUCGUCCUCGUCUCCGAUGCCGGUUAUGGAUGCAAGGAUGCGGCUGGUACUUCAGGCAAGAGCACUGAUAGUUGUGAUUCAGGCAUGGGUCAUGUUCAUGCACAAAAGAGUUGUUCGUCGUGCCGAGAGACCUGUCAUUAGACCAAUGCUUAUGCGGGAGCAGGAGAGGAUCGCCAAUAUUAACUACAUAUACAACUGCAACGAUACAGAGGCUAUGUGGAUGCUUAGAAUGAAAAGAACACCAUUUGUCAGACUUGUUCAAACCUUCAGGACCGGCCUGCUAGAAGAUAGUAUCCACACCAGUGUGGAAGAGCAAGGCUCCAUGUUUCUUCAUAUUGUUGGUCAUAACCAGAGGUUCAGGGUUAUCCACAACACGUUCAGAAGGUCAAUGACCAUCUUGAGAUACUUGAAGCAAGUGUUGUAUGCUGUUGAGGAGCUCAGAGGAGAGAUGAUCAAGUCACCAACUGGCCGGACUCCUACCAAGAUUCGUACAAGCUCAAGAUGGUAUCCAUACUUCAAGGUGAGUAAUGUAGUAUGUACUUCAUUGCUUGAUAUACUUGGGUAG